rnacentral:rRNA from 1 species
AUUGAACGCUGGCGGCAGGCCUAACACAUGCAAGUCGAACGAGUGGCGGACGGGUGAGUAAUGUCUGGGAAACUGCCCGAUGGAGGGGGAUCACUACUGGAAACGGUAGCUAAUACCGCAUACCAUCGGAUGAGCCCAGAUGGGAUUAGCUAGUAGGUGGGGUAACGGCUCACUUAGGCGACGAUCCCUAGCUGGUCUGAGAGGAUGACCAGCCAAACUGGAACUGAGACACGGUCCAGGCUCCUACGUGAGGCAGCAGUGGGGAAUAUUGCACAAUGGGCGCAAGCCCGAUGCAGCCAUGCCGCGUGUAUGAAGAAGGCCUGCGGGUUGUAAAGUACUUUCAGCGAGGAGGCGUUACUCGCAGAAGAAGCACCGGCUAACUCCGUGCCAGCAGGCGCGGUAAUAC